CCUACGGGAGGCUGCAGUGGGGAAUAUUGCACAAUGGGCGCAAGCCUGAUGCAGCCAUGCCGCGUGUGUGAAGAAGGCCUUCGGGUUGUAAAGCACUUUCAGCGGGGAGGAAGGCGGUGAGGUUAAUAACCUCAUCGAUCGACGUUACCCGCAGAAGAAGCACCGGCUAACUCCGUGCCAGCAGCCGCGGUAAUACGGAGGGUGCAAGCGUUAAUCGGAAUUACUGGGCGUAAAGCGCACGCAGGCGGUCUGUCAAGUCGGAUGUGAAAUCCCCGGGCUCAACCUGGGAACUGCAUUCGAAACUGGCAGGCUAGAGUCUUGUAGAGGGGGGUAGAAUUCCAGGUGUAGCGGUGAAAUGCGUAGAGAUCUGGAGGAAUACCGGUGGCGAAGGCGGCCCCCUGGACAAAGACUGACGCUCAGGUGCGAAAGCGUGGGGAGCAAACAGGAUUAGAUACCCUAGUAGUC
rnacentral:rRNA from 1 species